rnacentral:rRNA from 1 species
GAUGAACGCUGGCGGCGUGCUUAACACAUGCAAGUCGAACGAAACACCUUAUUUGAUUUUCUUCGGAACUGAAGAUUUGGUGAUUGAGUGGCGGACGGGUGAGUAACGCGUGGGUAACCUGCCCUGAACAGGGGGAUAACAGUCAGAAAUGACUGCUAAUACCGCAUAAGACCACAGCACCGCAUGGUGCAGGGGUAAAAACUCCGGUGGUACAGGAUGGACCCGCGUCUGAUUAGCUGGUUGGUGAGGUAACGGCUCACCAAGGCGACGAUCAGUAGCCGGCUUGAGAGAGUGAACGGCCACAUUGGGACUGAGACACGGCCCAAACUCCUACGGGAGGCAGCAGUGGGGAAUAUUGCACAAUGGGGGAAACCCUGAUGCAGCGACGCCGCGUGAGUGAAGAAGUAUUUCGGUAUGUAAAGCUCUAUCAGCAGGGAAGAAAAUGACGGUACCUGACUAAGAAGCCCCGGCUAACUACGUG